rnacentral:rRNA from 1 species
GGAUUAGAUACCCUGGUAGUCCACGCCGUAAACGAUGUAUACUAGUUGUCGGGUUUUAUACUCGGUGACGCAGCUAACGCAUUAAGUAUACCGCCUGGGGAGUACGGUCGCAAGAUUAAAACUCAAAGAAAUUGACGGGGACCCGCACAAGCGGUGGAGCAUGUGGUUUAAUUCGAAGCAACGCGAAGAACCUUACCCACCUUUGACAUACUAGUUUGGGAUAGUGGAGACACUUUCUUUCAGUUCGGCUGGGCUAGAUACAGGUGCUGCACGGCUGUCGUCAGCUCGUGCCG